rnacentral:tRNA from 1 species
UGUGAUGUCUAUAUCAAUAGAAAUAGGCCACAAUCCUGUCACCUUAGGUCGAUCGGUACCUCAAAUUGAUAUCCAAAAUUAGUUAUCGAUUUCAGUUCCUAAACUUGUCUAGGUCACACCCAACGAGGGUACUCCUGGGCCAUUAGCUCAGGUGGUUAGAGCGCACCCCUGAUAAGGGUGAGGUCCCUGGUUCAAGUCCAGGAUGGCCCAUUCGGUGUUGGGGGUUUAGCUCAGUUGGUAGAGCGCCUGCUUUGCAAGCAGGAUGUCAGCGGUUCGAGUCCGCUAACCUCCACUGGCCAACCUCAAACUAAAUCCAAGGAGUUUACUUUCUUUGAGGUGAUUUAGACUUAGUUUUAUCUGAAUGUACCUAGCUUCCUAUCAUUCCAACUCUAAAAAAUUAGAUUAGGCUGAAAGGACGCUGGGCUCACUGCAUGUCAUUCGAUUUGCAGAUUAGUUCAGUAGAACCUUGACAACUGCAUAGGUGAGUCUGGAAAAAAUAAAGCAUCUCAUGGAUGCAUUUUUCUAUUUAAAUAGUUUUAGUUUUUCUAUAAUUUAUAAAAGCUAAAAAACUAUUUAAACCAGUUAAAUGUUUGAUUCUUGAGUAAGAGCCGAGACUCCAUAA